UUACUGACGCUAAAGCUCGAAGGUGCGGGUAUCGAACAGGAUUAGAUACCCUGGUAGUCCGCACGGUAAACGAUGGAUGCCCGCUGUUUGCGAUACACUGUGAGCGGCCAAGCGAAAGCGUUAAGCAUCCCACCUGGGGAGUACGCCGGCAACGGUGAAACUCAAAGGAAUUGACGGGGGCCCGCACAAGCGGAGGAACAUGUGGUUUAAUUCGAUGAUACGCGAGGAACCUUACCCGGGCUUGAACUGCCGGCGUACGAUACAGAGAUGUUGAGGCCCUUCGGGGCGCCGGUGGAGGUGCUGCAUGGUUGUCGUCAGCUCGUGCCGUGAGGUGUCGGCUUAAGUGCCAUAACGAGCGCAACCCCUCUCCGUAGUUGCCAUCGGGUGAUGCCGGGCACUCUGCGGACACUGCCACCGUAAGGUGUGAGGAAGGUGGGGAUGACGUCAAAUCAGCACGGCCCUUACGUCCGGGGCUACACACGUGUUACAAUGGGUGGUACAGAGGGCAGGCGGCCGGCGACGUCCGUCGAAUCCUAAAAGCCAUCCUCAGUUCGGACUGGGGUCUGCAACCCGACCCCACGAAGCUGGAUUCGCUAGUAAU
rnacentral:rRNA from 1 species